rnacentral:rRNA from 1 species
GCCCGGGGCUCAACCCCGGACGUGCAUUUGAAACAGCAAGACUUGAAUACUGGAGAGGAAAGCGGAAUUCCUGGUGUAGAGGUGAAAUUCGUAGAUAUCAGGAGGAACACCGAUGGCGAAGGCAGCUUUCUGGACAGAUAUUGACGCUGAGGCGCGAAGGCGUGGGUAGCGAACAGGAUUAGAUACCCAGGUAGUCCACGCAGUAAACGAUGUACACUAGGUGUAGGGGAUAUUAAAAUUUCCUGUGCCGCAGCUAACGCAUUAAGUGUACCGCCUGGGGAGUACGGUCGCAAGACUAAAACUCAAAGGAAUUGACGGGGGCCCGCACAAGCGGUGGAGCAUGUGGUUUAAUUCGACGCAACGCGAAAAACCUUACCUGGGUUUGACAUCCU